CUGACAUGCCCUCAGUCUUUACGAAAACUCAGUGCAGACCUGAUGUUCUGGUUGUACCUGAACUUAAUUGGAGAAACAAACACAAUUAAAAUAUGAAUUUUUUAGUGUAAAUCAAAUGUCUUUCACCAUCUGAAGCCCACUAAUUUGUGUUUUAUAUAUAGUUAGUUAAUUUUUUGCCAGUUACGACGUCCAUAAAACCCCAAGAUUUAGAAGGUAUCAUGUAUGUUUCCUCUAAAAGGUAGUAAGAUAUUUCUUCUGCUCUUUUGUGAAGCCACUCUUCUACAGUAUCUGUAGCCUCAUAGCAAAUUAAUUGGUUGUACUAAAAAUUUUAGAGAGUGCAUAGGUCUCCCUUUUCUAUCCUAAUUACCUGCAAUAGCCUAGAGACGCUGAGCAUGAUUACAUUCGCAACUUGACUGUUUAAAAAAUUUGUUAUACUUGAUAAUGACCAGACUGUGUGCUGGAGUCAUUUGUGUUCUUCUUUUCUGCUACCCGAAUACACUAUUUAAUUUGGUUGCUUUUAUUUUUAAACUAUAUGGCACUCUUUUAAAUAAACAUUCAUUGCUAAUUAAAAUCUGCCAAUAAAUUGGUCUCAGCAUUUAAAUACCAUAUAUUUUAUAACUCAUACUGUGGCUAUCAAACAGAAGUUAACACAGUGGGGGUAAAGAUAUACAUAAUGUGUACCUAUAGGUGUAUUUAUAAUGCCUGUGUGCAGUAUACAGACAUAACUACAAAAUACUGCAUUUUAUUAAUGUUUAUUUUAACAUUGAGAAUUGGUAUUCUUGUAAAUUGAACUGACAAUUGCUUCUAUUCAGUACAUUUUGUUUUGAGCAGAUAUUUCCCAAAAGAGAAAAAAUCAAUGUUGACAUGAUUUUUAAAACCAUUUUCACCUGUAUUUUGUCUUUCAAAAAGAAAAGUGAUCUAAAUUGGCAUUGUAAAGAAGUUGUUAGCAAAGAAUAUUUUUUAUUUUUUUAUUUUUUCUUUUGGUAGAAAGUUAUAUUAAUAGUACAACAAAGAAUGAAAGAAUAAAACAAUGUUUAAGAACAUUAUUUAUAAGCAGUCAUUGUCUUUGUGCUUUAAAUGUUUCCCUUUUACCUUAGAGUAAUUUUUUAAAAGUUGAAAGUACUUUAAAAAUUUGUUUAAAUGAGUGCCCAUUGACAAUUAGCAUUUAAUAGUGCAGUUAAGUUCAUUGUUAUUAAGCCUUGAAAAAUUUCAAUAUCUCAAAAAAAUUAGAGAAAAAUAUUGGUAAAUGUAUUUGAUUCACAAAUGUAUUCAUAGCCGAUUGUGAGCUGCUCUACCACAUUUUCCUGUUUUUAUUGUUUCUGUGACGCUUGAUUAGACUAACUUGCUUAAGGUUUCUUUCCGCUCAAGGAUUCUAUGAUUCUAAUGUAACAAGGUACACACGCUCUCUCUGAUCACUUAAAGUAUCAGAGUUCAAAUCUGUUACAAUCACUCCAUUUCCUUUUGGAAAGUUGUGCCUCUCAUAAAGCUGCUUGGACAUUUUAAGUGUUUUGUAAUAUGCAUUAAAGUGUUGAGUUUUGUUUGCUGUAAGAGGCAUUUCGCUAUGUUGAUUAAACUUAUCU
rnacentral:lncRNA from 1 species